UGAUUUAAUUGUGUGAUUUAAUCAAAAGUUGAUUGAAUCAUUGCUGGUUGGACCAACAAUGUGGCGACAUGAAGAUGAACACCAUUGGUGCGCAUGGUUUGGUGCAUUCAAUCAUGGGCAUGGCUUUUGGGCUUGAAUGUGAGCUUGGUUUCAAGGCCCAUAAUUAGGCUCAUGACUAAUUAAAGUGUUUAAUUAGUUGUUUUAAUCACACAAUUAAAUUAUGAUUCAAAUCAGAAUUUUAAAAAUUGUUUGAAUGUG
rnacentral:misc_RNA from 1 species